rnacentral:rRNA from 1 species
CAGAGGUCCCGAGCGUUGUUCGGAUUCACUGGGCGUAAAGGGUGCGUAGGUGGUCAGGUAAGUCUGAUGUGAAAGCUCGGAGCUUAACUCCGAAAUGGCAUUGGAAACUACCUGGCUUGAGGAUUGAGGGGGGACUGGAAUACUUGGUGUAGCAGUGAAAUGCGUAGAUAUCAAGUGGAACACCAGUGGCGAAGGCGAGUCCCUGGACAACUCCUGACACUGAGGCACGAAAGCUAGGGGAGCAAACGGGAUUAGAUACCCCGGUAGUCCUAGCUGUAAACGGUGUGUAUUUGCUGUAAGCGGAUUCGACCCCGCUUGUGGCGUAGCCAACGCGUUAAAUACACCGCCUGGGAAGUACGGUCGCAAGAUUA